CCUACGGGGGGCUGCAGUGGGGAAUCUUGCGCAAUGGGCGAAAGCCUGACGCAGCGACGCCGCGUGCGGGAUGACGGCCUUCGGGUUGUAAACCGCUGUCGGGAGGGACGAAGCUCUGACGGUACCUCCAAAGGAAGCACCGGCUAACUCUGUGCCAGCAGCCGCGGUAAUACAGAGGGUGCAAGCGUUGUCCGGAAUCACUGGGCGUAAAGGGCGCGUAGGCGGCCUGGUAAGUCGGGGGUGAAACGCUGCGGCUCAACCGCAGCACUGCCUUCGAGACUGUCAGGCUUGAGCACGGUAGAGGCAGGUGGAAUUCCCGGUGUAGCGGUGGAAUGCGUAGAGAUCGGGAAGAACAUCGGUGGCGAAGGCGGCCUGCUGGGCCGUUGCUGACGCUGAGGCGCGACAGCGUGGGGAGCAAACAGGCUUAGAUACCCCAGUAGUC
rnacentral:rRNA from 1 species